rnacentral:rRNA from 1 species
UACGAAGGGGGCUAGCGUUGCUCGGAAUUACUGGGCGUAAAGCGCACGUAGGCGGCUUUCUAAGUCGGGGGUGAAAUCCUGGAGCUCAACUCCAGAACUGCCUUCGAUACUGGAGAGCUCGAGUCCGGGAGAGGUGAGUUGAACUGCGAGUGUAGAGGUGAAAUUCGUAGAUAUUAGGAAGAACACCGGUGGCGAAGGCGGCCCACUGGAUCGGUACUGACGCUGAGGUGCGAAAGCGUGGGGAGCAAACAGG